AGAUUGAGCACAGACCAGGCGGGGUUGGAGGGCAGGGGCAACUGUGGGCAGCAAGCAUAUACGUGUGCGUGACUGUGCACAGGGUGAGUGUGCACAUGUGGGAGUGUGAACACACAUAUGGGUAAGGGCCAGCUCACCUUUCCUCUCAGAGACCAGAUAAGACAGAGCUAAGGGGCAGGGCUCAGAAGAGAGCUCUGUGUCCUGGGUGGACCUAGGGAACCAGGCGUGGGCAAAGGGACGGCUCCUACAGAACCACACCCACCCACUCGCAUGCGCACACACACUCUGUUAAGGUCUAGUCAGUCUCUGAAGGAAGGAGGGGGAUCCCACUGUUAUCACUUACAGAAGUAGUUUCUCUUAUUUGGCAUCAUAGACAUGAAUAAUUUUUUUAGUUGUCAAUGGACCUUUAUUUUAUUUAUUUAUUUAUAUAUAUAUAUGCAGUGCUGAGACUUGAACCCAGUACCUCACAUAUGCAAGACAUGUGCUCUACCACUGAGCCACAACCCAGCCCCAGAUACGAAUGAUUUUAAAGAUGCCAUUCAAGGUGUGACAGCUGCUGAGGCCAUGGGAGGAGCCCGUGGGUCCUAGGGGGCCAUGUGGGUGCCUUGCAAUCAGCACUCACCUGCUCCAGCCAGAGCCUCAACUCCACAGAGCAUGGAAACCCCGGGACCAACCCCGGCCCAUCCAUCUAGACACAGGGGAACUCUCCUGGAAGACCAUGGGACCUGCAGGUGAUGUGGCUAGGGAACUUUCAACAGCACAGUCUUGCGGUGGACAUGUCCUGGAGCCCUUGCCAGGUUCUCGGUCUUCAGAGCCCAGGCCUCAGCCUCUCCUGGGUCAGUCUGGGCCUUAUCCUUUAUCUCCGAGGUGCAAGCCAGCACCUGGAGGCCACAGCUGCUGCUGGUCCACUUUUCUGCAGCAAAAGGCACUCUGGCACCAGGUGGGAGUCUGGGGCAGGAGGAUUGCAAGUUUGAGGCCAAUCUGGGCAUCUCAGCAAGACCCUGUCUCAAAAAAUAAAAGGGCUGGGGAUGGGGCUUGGUUGUUAAGUGCGUCUGGGUUUAAGCCCUAGCACCAAGAAAAAGAAAAAGGCCUCUGCACCAGGUGUCCAGCGGUGAGGCAGAGCAGAGCUCAGUCUUGCUCCAAGGCAGAGUCUGAGGACUGCUUGAGGCCUGAAUGGACCCCGGCAGGAUGAUGUUUUCUGGCCACCAGCCGAUCCUGAGGGCUUGCUUCAGGUGGGGUUGCAGCCUCUUGACCACCACGUUGUGCGACCUCUCCAGCCCUUUCCAGAGCCGGCCGCACCGGGAUUACCUGAGGCCCAAGUAGAGGCAGCAGUCUCAAGUGACCAAGGGCGAUAUGCCUCCGCCCAGGUGUGGGCAGCAGGUGGAGACACCUCCAGCAGCCCGGACACAGCCACAGUCUCCUCAGCGCUCUGCGGUGUUGUGGAAGAGGGUCCUCCCGGCCCUCAUGCACCUGUCGGACUCCAUCUGCAGCACGAGCCUCCCAGCGCCCGGGUUCUCCUCCCCGCUGGGUUGAACAAUGAGAUUUUUUUUCAUCAUCAUUUCAAAUGUUUUUCACAAGCUUGAUUUAAAAAGGGAAAAUUCCCCACCAUAUUUUCGGUCUGAUUAUCAGAUGAUGAUGGACACUAGAUUGAUAAGAGUCACUCGAGGAGACCCGAGCUCUUGUGUAUAACAGCUACUCCAAUUACCAGGCACGGCGGAACUACUAUUGAUCCCCGCUCACACUGGGCGAUAACUGAGCAUUUUCCACUUCUUUAAAGUGCUGUUAGCCAGAAACACCCAUCAGUGGAAAGCAGUAGAUUUUCCUUUAAACACAGCUCAAUACAAUAAACAGCACACGCUCAAAGUUCAGAGUUCUCCAAUCUCAGUCAAACAAGUAACUGCCCGGCACCAACACACAGACCUUCCAGCUGCUAAAUGGUUCAUUAUGGAACAGGAGAGAGGAGGUCAUCAGCUCUGUGACCUUAGCCGCCCCACAGCCGCACGAAGGAAAGUGUCCUUCGCUCCAUUUUCUUCCAGGGGUUUAAACAGGGCGAGAGGGGAGGCGUGGAGGUGGGCGGAGGUCACCACCCACCAGAGGUGCAUCUCUCCUGCCUCUGGCCCGGCCCAGCUCUGGCACGCUGCUGGGAUUACAGACCUGCAGCCACAUGGUGACUUGGGGAAGACUGCAAUUUUGACAAUAUUGGGAAUACAGUUGUCUCUAGGAGUGCUUCUGCUGGGGAGGGUCGUCAGCUCGGAUCUAAGAUGCUUCUUGGUGGCUGCUCCCCUCCUGGCCUCUGCUUGACCGAUGACAAAUAGGUGCUCCUCUCCUGAUGGCCCAGCUUUUGUUGUGGGCCCAGGGCCACCUCCAAACAUAAAACUCGGGAAAUUGACAAAUAAGGAAAUCAGCCCGUAACUGCGAGGCUAAUCUCGAGUGCCAUCAGCAGUUAGCCAAGGGCUGAGCACUGAGGCCAGGGUCAGGUCAAGCGACCUAGAAGUCAAUGGAAAGCGGUUCCGUUAUUUGUUUUGCCAUAUUUUCCCCAAUGUGGAUAGUUUCGUGUUUUAUUGUUUGAAAAGCCCAGAAUCUCUUCACACAAAGGUCAUCGUCGCGGGACCAGGACCUGCUGUGAGCCCGGGCGCUGGGCUCCCUCACCUGACCCUGGGGCAUCUGCAAGUGGGAAAUGCAGACCCCAGGAAAGGCCCCAGGACAAAGGGGGAGGGAGGGAGGGUCGGCUGCCGAGGGUGGAAGACGGGGUAGAAGUGGAGGUCAAAACAAGGCUGAAGAGGGUCUCCCUCAGCCUCACGGCACCCCCUGGUCAUUGACCCCACACACAUUUGUUGGUGGGGUCACAAAAGGUUCAUCCUUGCCCUUAGGUCCCUGCAGCUGGGCAGGGAUGCCGUUUCCACUGCGGAAACGAGCAGAACUUGGGCGAGGGCCUCACCCUCGGCAGGGUCCUGGAGGCCCCGUGGGGACCUGGCACCCACUGGGAAGAGCGAGUGGAGCGAGCGCUGGUGGUGCUGGUUCGCCUGUCUAGGGGCAGGGUGGCCCUGAGACAGCAGGGUGGAGAGGCAGUGAGACUUCCAGGCCAGGACGCCUGCACGAGGGCCCGGGAGGGUCAGGCCUAACCCCUGUGAACACAGCAGCGCCACAGUGGCCAAGGGCAGGAAGCAGCCCAGUGCCCAUCAGUGGACCAGCCAUGAACAUGGUCUGAUCACAGUGGAACGUCAUUCAGCCUUAAAAGAAAGGACCCUGAUGGGCCGACACAAGGCGCUGUCCCACUUGCCGUAGCCUUCUGAGGCCUGGCGUGCUCCGGGCCCUGCUUCCAGGCCAGGAGACAAGUUCCCAGCACUUGAGGACCAACACGGUCCCGCAGCUAGCAGAGGUGGAGCUGGGUUGGCCUCAGGUGCAGAACCAGGGAAGGCGCACAAGGCCUCCCCAGAGCUCCUCCGCAGCCAGCACCAGCUCAGGACCAGCGUGUGGCGAGAUGGCGGGCAGGCAGCCUGGCACUCAGACUGGCAAAGUAGCCAACAAGUGAUGCGGGAGCCAGCCGUCCAGACGGGCCACACCCCGCUUGCUCCUGGCUGAGUUGACGAAAAGGUCAAACGCCAGCUAUCCACUCAUGAACCACGUAAUGGGUACCUACAGGGGCAUGCGGCUCAGCUGGUUCUUCAGAUCCAGUUCUCCCCCGACAGUCCUUCACCCUCUAAACUCCAUAGCGGACACCUUCUUAAGCAUUUUCAUUCACAAUCACGACAGGGAACAAGGCAGGUGAGGAGGCCAAACGCCGCCCCUGGGGUCCCGCAGAAUGGAAAUUCAGUUCUCUGGAGUCUGGGACCCAAACGGGCAGUUCCAGUGGAUGAUCCAACGAUGCAGGGAGGCAGCGGUGCUGUGCCCGGGCUCCACAGUUCUCAGGGGUGGAGGACGCCCACGCAGGUGCCAAGGCCAGGUGCACUGUACCCACAGGUGGGCCUCAUAUUGGGGCUCACCAGGGAACUUAGGUCUCCCCAAGUUCAUAUUUAGGACACCAGCUAAGAGCCCCCACGAAUCCGUUCUUCAGGAGGGGACACAUGCCCUGCCGUGGCUCCCCGUGUCACAGCCUGUUAUGGUUCAGAGUGGCGUAUCCCCAAAAGCUCAUGUGUGAGACAGUCAAGAAGGUUCAGAGGUGAGCACUGUGACCUCAUCAGUGCACCAAGGCACAGUGUGGAUGAACUGGGUGGUGGCUGCAGGCAGGUAGGGUGUGGCUGGAGGAGGUGGUCACGGGGUGUGCCCUGAGGGUUUAUGUUUUGUCCCUGGUGAGUGGAGCUCUCUCUCUUUGCUUCCUGAGCUGCUUUCCUCCACCACGCCCUCUGCCUCACCUUGGGCCCACAGCACGCAGUCAGCUAUCUACGGGUUGAGACCUCUGAGACUGUGAACCAAAAUAAACUUCCUCUCUAA